rnacentral:rRNA from 1 species
CCUACGGGAGGCAGCAGUGGGGAAUAUUGGACAAUGGGCGAAAGCCUGAUCCAGCCAUGCCGCGUGUGUGAAGAAGGCCUUCGGGUUGUAAAGCACUUUCAGUGGGGAAGAAAGCCUUGGGGCUAAUACCCUCGAGGAAGGACAUCACCCACAGAAGAAGCACCGGCUAACUCCGUGCCAGCAGCCGCGGUAAUACGGAGGGUGCGAGCGUUAAUCGGAAUUACUGGGCGUAAAGCGCGCGUAGGCGGUCUGAUAAGCCGGUUGUGAAAGCCCCGGGCUCAACCUGGGAACGGCAUCCGGAACUGUCAGGCUAGAGUGCAGGAGAGGAAGGUAGAAUUCCCGGUGUAGCGGUGAAAUGCGUAGAGAUCGGGAGGAAUACCAGUGGCGAAGGCGGCCUCUGGACUGACACUGACGCUGAGGUGCGAAAGCGUGGGUAGCAAACAGGAUUAGAUACCCCAGUAGUC